rnacentral:rRNA from 1 species
UCGCCUACGGGGGGCAGCAGUGAGGAAUAUUGGUCAAUGGGCGCGAGCCUGAACCAGCCAAGUCGCGUGAGGGAUGACGGUCCUACGGAUUGUAAACCUCUUUUGCCGGGGAGCAAGCGUGCGUUCGUGAACGCGCGUCGAGAGUACCCGGAGAAAAAGCAUCGGCUAACUCCGUGCCAGCAGCCGCGGUAAUACGUAGGUGGCAAGCGUUAUCCGGAUUUAUUGGGUGUAAAGGGCGUGUAGGCGGG